GACGAACGCUGGCGGCGUGCUUAACACAUGCAAGUUGAACGGUGAUCUUGGGAGCUUGCUCUUGGGUGAUCAGUGGCGAACGGGUGAGUAACACGUGAGUAACCUGCCCCUGACUCUGGAAUAACUUCGGGAAACCGAAGCUAAUACCGGAUACGACCCAGAGCUGCAUGGCUACUGUGUGGAAAGUUUUUCGGUUGGGGAUGGACUCGCGGCCUAUCAGCUUGUUGGUGAGGUAAUGGCUCACCAAGGCGACGACGGGUAGCCGGCCUGAGAGGGCGAUCGGCCACACUGGGACUGAGACACGGCCCAGACCCCUACGGGAGGCAGCAGUGGGGAAUAUUGCACAAUGGGCGAAAGCCUGAUGCAGCGACGCCGCGUGAGGGAUGAAGGCCUUCGGGUUGUAAACCUCUUUCAGUAGGGAAGAAGCGCAAGUGACGGUACCUACAGAAGAAGCACCGGCUAACUACGUGCCAGCCGCCGCCGUAAAAC
rnacentral:rRNA from 1 species